AUGGCGGCGGGCUCGGCGGCGACCGGCGCGGACGAGAAGGCUCUGGCGCAGGGGUGGCGGAGGGUCGUUGACCGGGAGGCCGUCGACCGGGGCGUCGCCUACGCGCUCAUGGUCGUCGCUCUCGUCGCCACGUAUGCGCUUCACUAG
rnacentral:rRNA from 1 species